UAUGUAGGUACGUGCGUACGCAUGUUUGUAUGUAUGUAGUAUUCCAAGAUGACUUCCAGCAUGACUUCCUCCGAUGGCACCAGUUGGACAGUACUAUUAUAGCCAGUGACAAACUAUCGCGUGUUGAUUUAAGGUUCGUAACUUUUCAGUUCAAAGGUGAUCCAUGAAGAUAUGGAGAGCAACUAUCGACGAUAUUUCAGGUCAGUGAAGGGCAUGUAAUUCUCUAGUCUCUGGUUCUUGAGACAAAUUGUAAUUGAGAUAUAAUAUUUCUCUGCCUCUUUCUCUUGAAUGAAUGGUGAUGUUGACAGAAACGAUGUGGAAAAUUUUCGUAUUAAAUCCGUAUAUUUUAAAUACUGCUCGGGGAUAAUAUGGUUGUUCUGUAUACAGUGAACUUGAAGAGGCACUAAGCCGAAGGGAAAAUGAAUAAGUGGAUUGUUUUGAAAGUUAAACUUUGACUUUUAGUUAUCAUAAUAAAUUUUUCCAUGCAAACUAAUACAUUUAGGAGAAUGCAGUUGGACCAACACCUCUGCCAUCUCCAAAAGUAUAUUGACCUCUCUAAAGGUGAAAUGGAAAUAAUGAAUAAGCGUAUAUUCGACGCCAUCCAUCGCAACAUGGACAUUAAAUAAUUCCGCCAUCAAGUAGUUCCUCGGUAUUAUAUCAAAGGCGUCCUGUUGAUUUAUUUGAUUCGAUAUGAUGGAAUUUUAUCUUAGUUUCACGUCUCCAAAAACACAGAUUUGCUCAAGAAAUUCAAUUCAUUUUGCUACCAAUAUAUCACGAUCAAACGCGACGCUAAAAAAACUCACUUUUAUACCAUCUCCAUUAUUAUUUGGCCCCAAAAGAGAGUGACUCUUGUGUUGGUGUAUUCAAGGACGCACAGAAUAGGAUCAUUUUGUUAUGGCAUAUAGUACUUCUUUAAAUGAUGUUCGAAAAUUCUGCUACGCAUGAAGCACCCUCUCGGACAAUACACAAUUGAACGAAAAGAUCAGCGAGCAGUUGCAUAAAGUAAGCUCAGCUACCAGUGGAUUCCAGCACACACUAGAGAGAUCAUGGUAUCUGCCUGGCUACAAUGAUCAAAGUACACUAGGCGGUGGUGUUUCUCUAAUAUAUAGCUGUGAAGCAUGAACAUUGUACAGGCGCCAUAUUAAAUGGUUUAGACUCACUUCAUCUCCACUAUUUUCGUUCAGUUUGAAACAUCAUGUGGUAGGACAGAGAUCCCAGCACAGAGGAAUUUUCAAGAUAUGCCAUUCUAGGUAAAGGAAGAUUCAUUACCAAAGCGCAAGGACGGUGGGUUGAGUAAGUGGUGUGCAUAGAAGACACUCGCUUACCUAAAACCUUCUUCUACGGCUAGCUUAGCUCUGGUGCUAUGCACCAAGUCUGCCGUGCCUACGGUAACGUUAUAAGGAUUCUCUAAAGACCUCCAUGAAGACCUGCAACUUAAAAACUGAAAGCAAAAUAAUCUGAAGCACUGAACGCAUCCAAGUGAAGAAGCUCUUGCUACGAAGCCAUCUCCAAAUAUCAUUUGUGAUGUGUUUGGAACAAUAACCUUCCUAAUUACAUUAACAUACAACAAUCAUACACACGCACACAUCCAAACUCCACAAACCUUCCCCCCAUUUAUCUAAAGAAAUACACGUGUUCAAAAAGUAUCCCACUUUUUCCCACAAAACCUAAUGCAGCAUGGGUAAAAUCCUUUGGGUGGGAGGUGACACUACCCACCCUACGUAUGCUAGAUUCGCAUGUGUAUUUGUAAUUCUGUUUCUUUUUUUUCUUUUAUUCGUUUCAGUUAUGCAGCUGAGGUCAUGCAAGAACACCACCGUGAUUUUGCACCAUUACUUAUGAUUUCGGUAUUUCACAUUCCUACGCUUGUACGUUCCUUGAUCCCGGCUGUUGGCCGAUUUGAUGUAUGAGGGAGUUUAACUCCGCUGCCCUCGUCUGUACACAUGUCGAGCUGUCGGUUCAUUCGGUAUAGUGGAGAGGAGAAUGUCUAGUUCACUUUUGAAGACAUCUACGUUCACAUUGUGUAUAGGACCUGACAUUUUGGGCAAGUGGGGAUAGUCGUUUACAUCGACCCCAGGGACCAACUGCCACGUAUUUUAUCGACCCCCAAAAGGAUGAAUUACAAGGUCAAACACGCUGGAAUUUAAACUAAGAACUUAAAGACGGACGAAAAGCAGAACCAGAAGUCACAUGUAAAUGUGCGAAAAAUACAGGAAAGAA
rnacentral:lncRNA from 1 species